UAAAUACACAUAUCACAAUCAAAGGGGUAUAGCAUACAUGUAUUGUACACAUAUAUUAUUAAGGUGUCCGUACACAAAGAUAUUUUAAACAUAAACACACAAAUAUACACAUAACAUAACUAUUUUAUAUAUAUAUACACACACACACACACACACACAAUUCAGAUGUUAACACAUAAGUAUAACCAAACUUGAAGCAUCCUAGCAGACGAUGUUGAAAGACAAGGAUAGAGCUAAAGGUGGCAAAAACGCCAAUGUUUACAUUAUUUCGAAUGGCAUCGUUUUAAUUUUUCGCUGAAUAUACGUAAUGGUGAAAGCUUGUGCAGCUUUUGGUUGCACUAAUAGAUUCGGCAGUUGUGGUGGAUUAAGUUUCCACAACAGCGGUGACCUCGCCAGAGGCCUGUGGAUGCCUUGUGGCCCCGCUCCUUCCCCGAGCAGCAGCGACCGGAGGCCAGACGCUCGCCCGUCCACGCAGCAGCAGCACAAAACCACGGCUCUACCUGUCGGCAUGGAGGUGUAGCAGUCCAGCUGGGCGGGCGGGGUCAGCAGCGCGUUCAGCCACUUGGUGUACUCCAGCUCCUGCGUCGCCAUCCACUGCUCCGUCUCGUACACGGCCGUGCCCCCGAAGGGGUUCCCGCCGGCCCCCCACCGUCCCCGCCGGGACGCCGAGACGCCCGCCGGCGAGAGCAGUGCCGCCACCUCCUGCCUGCUCCUGCCCGGGAGCAGCUUCAGGGUCCUGAGGGUCCUGGCCGAGCGCUUCAUCUUCACGCCGGGGCUCCGCAGCACUGCAGACAACCUCGCUGCAGACUUCCCUCACUCAGGGUGUCCACAAGGAAAAAAAAAAUAUUUUGUACCAACUUAGGUGAGAAAGAGUACUAGAUUCAAAAAAAAAAAGUACUAAAUUAUAAUUUUUUUUAUGGGUUUUUAACAAUUUAAAAAGUUAUCGUGACAUUGCAACGCUCGAACUUAAAUAUCACACCACACACACACACACAUGCAUUCCAUAGUUUCCUCGCUGGAGACGUCCGUCCGAGCAAUCACCCUCACUCAUUCUGAAUUAGUCGUAGUUUAAUAAAUGAUCAUUUAAAAAAAAAACUAGCUGCAGUACCCGGCGUUGCCCGGGCUGAACACACGGAGCUUUAUUGUCCGCGAGUUAAAGCAAACUGGAUAGCGCUGUAUGACAAGUGUGUUGAACAUGGAGAAACGUCACACAAUUAUUGUGCACAAGGAAAAAAAUAUUUCGUACCAACUUAGGCGAGAAAAAGAGUACUAGAUUUGAAAAAAAAAAAAAAAAAAGUUACUAAAUUUUAAUUUUUUUUAAUGGUUUUUUAACAAUUUAAAAAGUUAUUAUGACAUUGCAACGGUCGAACUUAAAUAUCACACCACACACACACAUACCAUAGUUUUUUUUAAAAAUAAUCACGCUUAAUCAUAAAACAUAUUGGAGUUACUAUGAUAUUAUUAUAUUAAAGUAAAAAUGUACUAGAUCUGUACUAGACCACUAGAAAAGUUAUGAAAGAACUAGAUCUAGUACGAAAGUACCAACUGUGGCCACCUGCCCUCACUCCUCCCAGACAAUCAGAGCGCUAAACUGCACGUUGACCUGAACUUGACGUCACACUUCUUCAGGCACGUUGCGAAAACAUGAAGUUAAAUUUUUAACAGGCACGAGCAACAAAAGGAAAAUAAUACAAGUGCAUUUAAAUCACACAUCGCUGAUUGAUUACGGGUACAUAUCAUUUAAAGUUUUUUUUUUUUUAAACAUCAGUGAUAGAAAAUGAGUUUUGUUCCUGUAAGGAUAAUUUGUUUACAUUAUAAAUUACUGAAUUAGAAUUAACAUACAG